rnacentral:rRNA from 1 species
CCCUCUGCCUACGUGUACCUCUAUAGCUUCCUCGGCGGGCUCGCCCGCCGCCAGGAACCCACGAAACCCCUUGCAUUAUACGCGAAAACUUCUGAUAACAAACCUAAAUUAUCACAACUUUCAACAAUGGAUCUCUUGGUUCUGGCAUCGAUGAAGAACGCAGCGAAAUGCGAUAAGUAGUGUGAAUUGCAGAAUUCAGUGAAUCAUCGAAUCUUUGAACGCACAUUGCGGCCAUAGGUAUUCCUUUGGCCAUGCCUGUUCGAGCGUCAUUUACACCCUCAAGCCUAGCUUGGUGUUGGGCGUCUGUCCCGCCGUUCUCGCGCGCGGACUCGCCUCAAAGUCAUUGGCGGCGGUCGUGCCGGCCCCCUCGCGCAGCACAUUUGCGCUUCUCGGAGGCCCGGCGGAUCCGCGCUCCAGCAAGACCUUUCACGACUUGACCUCGGAUCAGGUAGGGAUACCCGCUGAACUUAAGCAUAUCAAA